rnacentral:rRNA from 1 species
CCUAGGCAUCACGGUCGGCGAGCGCGUUGAGUUUUCUCCCGCACAUCACGGCUUGCGUGAUAAGCUGACCGGAGUCGUAGGGGCAUUGUCGCGCGUACUGCGGGUCGACUGGGGACUCAGUCCCGCGCAAAGCGGACAAUAUAUGCCGGACUCAUGGUGCCCUGUGCACUAUUUGGUGCCUCGGUUUGGUCUGUCGUGACGACGACGCAAGUGGUUGCCAGGAGGCAUCUGCUUGCGUGCCAAAGGAUCGUCCUGAUUGGAUGCCUACCGGUAUGCCGAACAGUGUCCACCAUGGCACUGCAAGUACUAGCUGGAGCCCCCCCGUUUGAUCUGGCUGCCAGACGCCUGGCAAUCAGCUUCAAGCUAAAGCGUGACUACCGCUGGAGGAGAGCGAUUGGCUGUACGGCGAAGAUUUGGCAAAUCUUAGCUGGAAGCAGAAGAUGGCGCGACUAGACGAAGACCUGUUGUGCGAGUGGCAACGCAGAUGGGAUGAUGGUGACUCCCCAGGACGGGUGACGCACCGCUUCAUCCGAACGCAGGCUUCGUCUACAGCGAACGAAGGUUUGGCUUCACGCUGCGCGCUGGUUCCUGCUGACGGCCACGGAUCGCUCAAUGCAUUUCUGCAUGGAAGAAGCCUUAGCGACACGCCAGCAUGUCUAUGCGGCGCAGAACGCGAGGAUUGGCAGCACUUCCUAUGUGCUUGUCCCUCUAUACAGACUUGCGAGACCUCGAUGGACUUGGAGUGCAGUACACGGAUGGCGACUGGACCUUCUCCGAUGUGACGGCUUCUCAGGAGAGAAUGCGGACUCUCGACAGGUUCGCCGGACUGGCGUCUCCAGGCGACAGCAGCUGCUGAAUGCGCAAGCGGCGCACGGCUGGGUGGAUUCCCUAUCCAGGCCGGUCGGGCUAAAAGGGAGGAUCGAGCUGAGUCCUUAAGAUCGGUACCACGGGUUGUGCAGUUCCAAGGCUGCACAUUGAGGUCGGCCCUAGUGGGAGUAUCGUGGUGGCUGUGGUUGAUACCAAACGUUACGCGGGGAGAGCCGCUAGGCUCCUCGUGGAGUUGCGCUCUCAACCGGUGCCGAGACCCAUAGAUCGGAAGACGUGUUAGAUACACCUCGCCCUCACCAAGGGGAUUGUAUGCCCGACCAGGAUACUUUCAAUUGGUACCAGAAGAGUCGCUAUGUACAUAGCUAUAGCUUCUUUUUAGGGGCGUUAACUGGCGCAUUGUACCAGGUUCCUGCGUAUGUAGCGGUGGUGCGUGAUGGCGUGAUAUAUGUAAAUAUAUCGCACUAAUCGAGGCUAAGCUGCAGAUAAACAUUAGACGCCGUGGUUGAAAUCCCUCCCUGAGGAACCGCCACGUAAAAUAAAGCUGAGAGAUCAGAUUCAUUCGAUGCCCUAGUGGAGUAUCGUGGUGGCUGUGGUUGAUACCCAAACGUUACGCGGGAGAGCCGCUAGGCUCCUCGUGGAGUUGCGCUCUCAACCGGGUGCCGAGACCAUAGAUCGGAAGACGUGUUAGAUACACCUCGCCCCUCACCAAGGGGGAUUGUAUGCCCGACCAGGAUACUUUCAAUUGGUACCAGAAGAGUCGCUAUGUACAUAGCUAUAGCUUCUUUUUAGGGGCGUUAACUGGCGCAUUGUACCAGGUUCCUGCGUAUGUAGCGGUGGUGCGUGAUGGCGUGAUAUAUGUAAAUAUAUCGCACUAAUCGAGGCUAAGCUGCAGAUAAACAUUAGACGCCGUGGUUGAAAUCCCCCCUGAGGAACCGCCACGUAAAAUAAAGCUGAGAGAUCAGAUUCAUUCUGUCCCUAUCUACUAUCUAGCGAAACCACAGCCAAGGGAACGGGCUUGGAAUAAUUAGCGGGGAAAGAAGACCUUUUGAGCUUGACUCUAAUCUGGCAGUGUAAGGAGACAUAAGAGGUGUAGCAUAAGUGGGAGAUAUUAGAUUUCGGUUUGGUAUCGACAAUGAAAUACCACUACUCUUAUUGUUUCCUUACUUACUUGAUUAAAUGGAACGUGUAUCAUUUCCUAGCCAUUAUACGGAUAUAUUUAUUAUAUCUUAUGGUAUUGGGUUUUGAUGCAAGCUUCUUGAUCAAAGUAUCACGAGUUUGUUAUAUAAUCGCAAACAAAUUCUUUAAUGAGAAAAUGCAUUUAUGUAUUUUCAAUUUGAAAAUUUGGUAUAACUCCAAUUACUCAGGUAUGAUCCAAUUCAAGGACAUUGCCAGGUAGGGAGUUUGACUGGGGCGGUACAUCUCUCAAAUAAUAACGGAGGUGUCCCAAGGCCAGCUCAGUGCGGACAGAAACCACACAUAGAGCAAAAGGGCAAAUGCUGACUUGAUCUCGGUGUUCAGUACACACAGGGACAGCAAAAGCUCGGCCUAUCGAUCCUUUUGGUUUAAAGAGUUUUUAACAAGAGGUGUCAGAAAAGUUACCAUAGGGAUAACUGGCUUGUGGCGGCCAAGCGUUCAUAGCGACGUCGCUUUUUGAUCCUUCGAUGUCGGCUCUUCCUAUCAUUGUGAAGCAAAAUUCACAAGCGUUGGAUUGUUCACCCAUGCAAGGGAACGUGAGCUGGGUUUAGACCGUCGUGAGACAGGUUAGUUUUACCCUACUAAUGACAAAACGUUGUUGCGACAGCAUUCCUGCGUAGUACGAGAGGAACCGCAGGUACGGACCAAUGCACAAUACUUGUUCGAGCGAACAGUGGUAUGACGCUACUCCGUUGGAUUAUGCCUGAACGCCUCUAAGGUCGUAUCCGUGCUGGACUGCAAUGAUAAAUAAGGGGCAAUUUGCAUUGUAUGGCUUCUAAACCAUUAAAAGUUUAUAAUUUAUUUUAUAAACGACAAUGGAUGUGAUGCCAAUGUAAUUUGUAACAUAGUAAAUUGGGGGGAUCAUCGAUCACCUGAUGCCGCGCUAGUUGCAUAUAAAAACAUUAUUAAUACAAUGACAAAGCCUAGAAU